AUGUAAGUUUUUGCAUGAUUUUUUGUUUAUUUUAAUAAUAAAUAAGUUAUAACAUAUUCUCAGUAAUUAAUUUUAUAAAUCAAAGAAAUUUGGAAUUAGUAAUUUUAUUAAGUAUUGGUUAAAUUUGUGCCAGCAUCCGCGGUUAUACAAAUAAUACAAAUGAAAAUUUUUCAGUGAAAGUAAUAAUAAUAAAAUAAAUAUAAAUUUAUUAAGUGAAAUUUUAAAUUUAUUAAAUUUUAAAUAUAUAUAUAUAAUUUAAAUCUUUUAAAUUUUAUUAUUAAACUAGGAUUAGAUACCCUAUUAUUAAAAAUGUAAUUUUAAACACUUAAGUAGUAAUAGCUAUGUUCUUGAAACUUAAAAGAUUUGGCGGUAUUUUAGUCUAUUCAGAGGAACCUGUUCUGUAAUUGAUAAUCCACAAUGUACCUUACUUAAAUUUGUAAUUCAGUUUAUAUACCGUCGUUAUUAGAAUAUUUUUUUAGAAAAAUAAUUUUCAUAAAUUUAUAAUAAAAUUAAUAUCAGAUCAAGGUGUAGCUUAUAUUUAAGUAGAAAUGGGUUACAAUAAAUUUAUUUAAAUGAAUUUAAAUUUGAAAUAUUUAAUGAAAGUGGAUUUGGUAGUAAAAUUUUAAAGAUUAAAAAUUUGACUUUAGCUCUAAAAUAUGUACACAUCGCCCGUCGCUCUUAUUAUUAAAGUAAGAUAAGUCGUAACAUAGUAGAUGUA
rnacentral:rRNA from 1 species